CUCAUUAGAUCACCGAAGUCAAGUCUCAUUGGGCGCGGACAGUACUUGGGUGGGUGACCACCUGGGAACACCGCGUGCCGUU